UACGGGAGGCAGCAGUGGGGAAUCUUGCGCAAUGGGCGAAAGCCUGACGCAGCCAUGCCGCGUGAAUGAUGAAGGUCUUAGGAUUGUAAAAUUCUUUCACCGGGGACGAUAAUGACGGUACCCGGAGAAGAAGCCCCGGCUAACUUCGUGCCAGCAGCCGCGGUAAUACGAAGGGGCUAGCGUUGCUCGGAAUUACUGGGCGUAAAGGGCGCGUAGGCGGAUCGUUAAGUCAGAGGUGAAAUCCCAGGGCUCAACCCUGGAACUGCCUUUUGAUACUGGCGAUCUUGAGUAUGAGAGAGGUAUGUGGAACUCCGAGUGUAGAGGUGAAAUUCGUAGAUAUUCGGAAGAACACCAGUGGCGAAGGCGACAUACCUGGCUCAUUACUGACGCUGAGGGCGCGAAAGCGUGGGGAGCAAACAGGGAUUAGAUACC
rnacentral:rRNA from 1 species